UGCCAUCUCUCUGUCCCAAUAUAGCUAAUCAUGCCAUCUCUCUGUCCCAAUAUAGCUAAUCAUGCCAUCUCUCUGUCCCAAUAUAGCUAAUCAGUGCCAUC